GUGGGGAAUCUUGCGCAAUGGGCGAAAGCCUGACGCAGCCAUGCCGCGUGAAUGAUGAAGGUCUUAGGAUUGUAAAAUUCUUUCACCGGGGACGAUAAUGACGGUACCCGGAGAAGAAGCUCCGGCUAACUUCGUGCCAGCAGCCGCGGUAAUACGAAGGGGGCUAGCGUUGCUCGGAAUUACUGGGCGUAAAGGGCGCGUAGGCGGACAGCUUAGUCAGAGGUGAAAGCCCAGGGCUCAACAUUGGAAUUGCCUUUGAUACUGGCUGUCUUGAGUUUGGGAGAGGUGAGUGGAACUCCGAGUGUAGAGGUGAAAUUCGUAGAUAUUCGGAAGAACACCAGUGGCGAAGGCGACUCACUGGCCCAAUACUGACGCUGAGGCGCGAAAGCGUGGGGAGCAAACAGGAUUAGAAACCCCUGUAGUCC
rnacentral:rRNA from 1 species